GAGGUGGAGCAAAUCCCUAAAAGCCAUCCCAGUUCGGAUCGCAGGCUGCAACCCGCCUGCGUGAAGUUGGAAUCGCUAGUAAUCGCGGAUCAGCAUGCCGCGGUGAAUACGUUCCCGGGCCUUGUACACACCGCCCGUCACACCAUGAGAGUCGGGAACACCCGAAGUCCGUAGUCUAACCGCAAGGGGGACGCGGCCGAAGGUGGGUUCGAUAAUUGGGGUGAAGUCGUAACAAGGUACC
rnacentral:rRNA from 1 species